UAGCUCAGUGGUAGAGCAAUUGCCUGGCAUGCAUUAGGCCAUGGGUUCAAUCCCCAGU
rnacentral:tRNA from 1 species